rnacentral:rRNA from 1 species
AGUGAAGCGGCAUCAGCUCAAAUUUGAAAUCUGGCUCUUUCAGGGUCCGAGUUGUAAUUUGCAGAGGGCGCUUUGGCGUUGGCAGCGGUCCAAGUUCCUUGGAACAGGACGUCACAGAGGGUGAGAAUCCCGUACGUGGUCGCUGGCCUUCGCCGUGUAAAGCCCCUUCGACGAGUCGAGUUGUUUGGGAAUGCAGCUCUAAAUGGGAGGUAAAUUUCUUCUAAAGCUAAAUACUGGCCAGAGACCGAUAGCGCACAAGUAGAGUGAUCGAAAGAUGAAAAGCACUUUGGAAAGAGAGUCAAAUAGCACGUGAAAUUGUUGAAAGGGAAGCGCUUGCAGCCAGACUUGCUUGUAGUUGCUCAUCCGGGCUUUUGCCCGGUGCACUCUUCUGCGAGCAGGCCAGCAUCAGUCUGGGCGGUUGGAUAAAGGCCUCUGUCAUGUACCUCCUUUCGGGGAGGCCUUAUAGGGGAGGCGUAAUGCAACCAGCCUGGACUGAGGUCCGCGCAUCUGCUAGGAUGCUGGCGUAAUGGCUGUAAGCGGCCCGUCUUGAAACACGGACCAAGGAGUCUAACAUCUAUGCGAGUGUUUGGGUGUCAAGCCCGAGCGCGUAAUGAAAGUGAACGGAGGUGGGAUCCCUUUAGGGUGCACCAUCGACCGAUCCUGAUGUCUUCGGAUGGAUUUGAGUAAGAGCAUGGCUGUUGGGAC